GAAACCCAGUGUGACUCGUCACACUAUCAUUAACUGAAUCCAUAGGUUAAUGAGGCGAACCGGGGGAACUGAAACAUCUAAGUACCCCGAGGAAAAGAAAUCAACCGAGAUUCCCCCAGUAGCGGCGAGCGAACGGGGAGGAGCCCAGAGCCUGAAUCAGCAUGUGUGUUAGUGGAAGCGUCUGGAAAGGCGCGCGAUACAGGGUGACAGCCCCGUACACAAAAGCGCAUGUGCUGUGAGCUCGAUGAGUAGGGCGGGACACGUGGUAUCCUGUCUGAAUAUGGGGGGACCAUCCUCCAAGGCUAAAUACUCCUGACUGACCGAUAGUGAACCAGUACCGUGAGGGAAAGGCGAAAAGAACCCCGGCGAGGGGAGUGAAAAAGAACCUGAAACCGUGUACGUACAAGCAGUGGGAGCACAGGUUUACCUGUGUGACUGCGUACCUUUUGUAUAAUGGGUCAGCGACUUAUAUUCUGUAGCAAGGUUAACCGAAUAGGGGAGCCGGAGGGAAACCGAGUCUUAAUUGGGCGUUAAGUUGCAGGGUAUAGACCCGAAACCCGGUGAUCUAGCCAUGGGCAGGUUG
rnacentral:rRNA from 1 species